AACGAACGCUGGCGGCAGGCCUAACACAUGCAAGUCGAGCGGACCCUUCGGGGUUAGCGGCGGACGGGUGAGUAACGCGUGGGAAUAUGCCCUUCUCUACGGAAUAGUCCUGGGAAACUGGGGGUAAUACCGUAUACGCCCUUUGGGGGAAAGAUUUAUCGGGGAAGGAUUAGCCCGCGUUGGAUUAGGUAGUUGGUGGGGUAAUGGCCUACCAAGCCGACGAUCCAUAGCUGGUUUGAGAGGAUGAUCAGCCACACUGGGACUGAGACACGGCCCAGACUCCUACGGGAGGCAGCAGUGGGGAAUCUUAGACAAUGGGGGCAACCCUGAUCUAGCCAUGCCGCGUGAGUGAUGAAGGCCUUAGGGUUGUAAAGCUCUUUAAGCUGGGAAGAUAAUGACGGUACCAACAGAAGAAGCCCCGGCUAACUCCGUG
rnacentral:rRNA from 1 species